rnacentral:rRNA from 1 species
GAUGAACGCUGGCGGCGUGCCUAAUACAUGCAAGUCGAGCGAACGGAUGAGAAGCUUGCUUCUCUGAUGUUAGCGGCGGACGGGUGAGUAACACGUGGAUAACCUACCUAUAAGACUGGGAUAACUUCGGGAAACCGGAGCUAAUACCGGAUAAUAUUUUGAACCGCAUGGUUCAAAAGUGAAAGACGGUCUUGCUGUCACUUAUAGAUGGAUCCGCGCUGCAUUAGCUAGUUGGUAAGGUAACGGCUUACCAAGGCAACGAUGCAUAGCCGACCUGAGAGGGUGAUCGGCCACACUGGAACUGAGACACGGUCCAGACUCCUACGGGAGGCAGCAGUAGGGAAUCUUCCGCAAUGGGCGAAAGCCUGACGGAGCAACGCCGCGUGAGUGAUGAAGGUCUUCGGAUCGUAAAACUCUGUUAUUGGGGAAGAACAUAUGUGUAAGUAACUGUGCACAUCUUGACGGUACCUAAUCAGAAAGCCACGGCUAACUACGUG